AAGUGAGAAAAAUUAAUUUCCAAUUAAUUACUGACAGCUUCCUCGCUUA
rnacentral:tRNA from 1 species